AACGAACGCUGGCGGCAGGCCUAACACAUGCAAGUCGAACGCUGUAGCAAUACAGAGUGGCAGACGGGUGAGUAACGCGUGGGAACAUGCCCUUCGGUUCGGAAUAACUCAGGGGAACUUGAGCUAAUACCGGAUACGCCCUUAGGGGGAAAGAUUUAUUGCCGAAGGAUUGGCCCGCGUCCGAUUAGCUAGUUGGUGAGGUAAUGGCUCACCAAGGCGACGAUCGGUAGCUGGUCUGAGAGGAUGAUCAGCCACACUGGGACUGAGACACGGCCCAGACUCCUACGGGAGGCAGCAGUGGGGAAUAUUGGACAAUGGGCGCAAGCCUGAUCCAGCCAUGCCGCGUGAGUGAUGAAGGCCCUAGGGUUGUAAAGCUCUUUCGCCAGGGACGAUAAUGACGGUACCUGGAUAAGAAGCCCCGGCUAACUUCGUGCCAGCCGCCGCCGUAAGAC
rnacentral:rRNA from 1 species